rnacentral:rRNA from 1 species
ACCAGACUCCUACGGGAGGCAGCAGUCGGGAAUAUUGCGCAAUGGAGGAAACUCUGACGCAGUGACGCCGCGUAUAGGAAGAAGGUUUUCGGAUUGUAAACUAUUGUCGUUAGGGAAGAUACAAGACAGUACCUAAGGAGGAAGCCCCGGCUAACUAUGUGCCAGCAGCCGCGGUAAUACAUAGGGGGCAAGCGUUAUCCGGAUUUAUUGGGUGUAAAGGGUGCGUAGACGGGAUGGUAAGUCAGAUGUGAAAACUAUGGGCUCAACCCAUAGCCUGCAUUUGAAACUAUCGUUCUUGAGUGUUGGAGAGGCAGGCGGAAUUCCGUGUGUAGCGGUGAAAUGCGUAGAUAUACGGAGGAACACCAGUGGCGAAGGCGGCCUGCUGGACAAUAACUGACGCUGAGGCGCGAAAGCGUGGGGAGCAAACAGGAUUAGAUACCCCAGUAAA